rnacentral:rRNA from 1 species
UACAGAGGGGGCAAGCGUUAUUCGGAAUUAUUGGGCGUAAAGGGCGCGUAGGCGGCUUGGCAAGUGGAUGGUGAAAUCCCUCGGCUUAACCGAGGAACUGCCGUCCAAACUGCUUUGCUUGAGGCCGGGAGAGGCGAGUGGAAUUCCCAGUGUAGCGGUGAAAUGCGUAGAUAUCGUAAGGAAGACCAGUGGCGAAGGCGGGUCUCUGGACAGUUCCUGACGCUGAGGCACGAAGGCCAGGGGAGCAAACGGG